UGUCCGGAAUUACUGGGCGUAAAGAGCUCGUAGGUGGUUUGUCGCGUUGUUCGUGAAAUCUCACGGCUUAACUGUGAGCGUGCGGGCGAUACGGGCCAAGAAUUGAAUUAUGGAAGGGAAAAUGGAAUUCCUGGUGUAUCGGUGGAAUGCGCACAUAUUAUGAAGAACAACCGUGUGGCGAAGAGCGGGUCUCUGGGCAGUAAACUGACGCUGAGGAGCGACAACAUCGUGGGGAGCGAACAGGAUUAGAUACCCUGGUAGUCCACGCCGUAAACGGUUGGUACUAGGUGUGGGUUUCCUUCCUUGGGAUCCGUGCCGUAGCUAACGCAUUAAGUACCCCGCCUGGGGAGUACGGCCGCAAGGCUAAAACUCAAAGAAAUUGACGGGGGCCCGCACAAGCGGCGGAGCAUGUGGAUUAAUUCGAUGCAACGCGAAGAACCUUACCUGGGUUUGACAUGCACAGGACGCCGGCAGAGAUGUCGGUUCCCUUGUGGCCUGUUGUGCAGGUGGUGCAUGGCUGUC
rnacentral:rRNA from 1 species